rnacentral:rRNA from 1 species
UAACCGGGCGUUAAGUUGCAGGGUAUAGACCCGAAACCCGGUGAUCUAGCCAUGGGCAGGUUGAAGGUUGGGUAACACUAACUGGAGGACCGAACCGACUAAUGUUGAAAAAUUAGCGGAUGACCUGUGGCUGGGGGUGAAAGGCCAAUCAAACCGGGAGAUAGCUGGUUCUCCCCGAAAGCUAUUUAGGUAGCGCCUCGUGAAUUCAUCUCCGGGGGUAGAGCACUGUUUCGGCUAGGGGGCCAUCCCGGCUUACCAACCCGAUGCAAACUGCGAAUACCGGAGAAUGUUAUCACGGGAGACACACGGCGGGUGCUAACGUCCGUCGUGAAGAGGGAAACAACCCAGACCGCCAGCUAAGGUCCCAAAGUCAUGGUUAAGUGGGAAACGAUGUGGGAAGGCCCAGACAGCCAGGAUGUUGGCUUAGAAGCAGCCAUCAUUUAAAGAAAGCGUAAUAGCUCACUGGUCGAGUCGGCCUGCGCGGAAGAUGUAACGGGGCUAAACCAUGCACCGAAGCUGCGGCAGCGACGCUGAUGCGUUGUUGGGUAGGGGAGCGUUCUGUAAGCCUGCGAAGGUGUGUCGUGAGGCAUGCUGGAGGUAUCAGAAGUGCGAAUGCUGACAUAAGUAACGAUAAAGCGGGUGAAAAGCCCGCUCGCCGGAAGACCAAGGGUUCCUGUCCAACGUUAAUCGGGGCAGGGUGAGUCGACCCCUAAGGCGAGGCCGAAAGGCGUAGUCGAUGGGAAACGGGUUAAUAUUCCCGUACUUGGUGUUACUGCGAAGGGGGGACGGAGAAGGCUAUGUUGGCCGGGCGACGGUUGUCCCGGUUUAAGCGUGUAGGUGUGUGUUCCAGGUAAAUCCGGUUCACUUUAACACUGAGGCGUGAUGACGAGGCACUACGGUGCUGAAGCAACAAAUGCCCUGCUUCCAGGAAAAGCCUCUAAGCAUCAGGUAACAUCAAAUCGUACCCCAAACCGACACAGGUGGUCAGGUAGAGAAUACCAAGGCGCUUGAGAGAACUCGGGUGAAGGAACUAGGCAAAAUGGUGCCGUAACUUCGGGAGAAGGCACGCUGACACGUAGGUGAAGUGAUUUACUCAUGGAGCUGAAGUCAGUCGAAGAUACCAGCUGGCUGCAACUGUUUAUUAAAAACACAGCACUGUGCAAACACGAAAGUGGACGUAUACGGUGUGACGCCUGCCCGGUGCCGGAAGGUUAAUUGAUGGGGUCAGCGCAAGCGAAGCUCCUGAUCGAAGCCCCGGUAAACGGCGGCCGUAACUAUAACGGUCCUAAGGUAGCGAAAUUCCUUGUCGGGUAAGUUCCGACCUGCACGAAUGGCGUAAUGAUGGCCAGGCUGUCUCCACCCGAGACUCAGUGAAAUUGAACUCGCUGUGAAGAUGCAGUGUACCCGCGGCAAGACGGAAAGACCCCGUGAACCUUUACUAUAGCUUGACACUGAACAUUGAGCCUUGAUGUGUAGGAUAGGUGGGAGGCUUUGAAGUGUGGACGCCAGUCUGCAUGGAGCCGGCCUUGAAAUACCACCCUUUAAUGUUUGAUGUUCUAACGUGGACCCGUGAUCCGGGUUGCGGACAGUGUCUGGUGGGUAGUUUGACUGGGGCGGUCUCCUCCUAAAGAGUAACGGAGGAGCACGAAGGUUGGCUAAUCCUGGUCGGACAUCAGGAGGUUAGUGCAAUGGCAUAAGCCAGCUUGACUGCGAGCGUGACGGCGCGAGCAGGUGCGAAAGCAGGUCAUAGUGAUCCGGUGGUUCUGAAUGGAAGGGCCAUCGCUCAACGGAUAAAAGGUACUCCGGGGAUAACAGGCUGAUACCGCCCAAGAGUUCAUAUCGACGGCGGUGUUUGGCACCUCGAUGUCGGCUCAUCACAUCCUGGGGCUGAAGUAGGUCCCAAGGGUAUGGCUGUUCGCCAUUUAAAGUGGUACGCGAGCUGGGUUUAGAACGUCGUGAGACAGUUCGGUCCCUAUCUGCCGUGGGCGCUGGAGAACUGAGGGGGGCUGCUCCUAGUACGAGAGGACCGGAGUGGACGCAUCACUGGUGUUCGGGUUGUCAUGCCAAUGGCACUGCCCGGUAGCUAAAUGCGGAAGAGAUAAGUGCUGAAAGCAUCUAAGCACGAAACUUGCCCCGAGAUGAGUUCUCCCUGAGACUUAGAGUCUCCUGAAGGAACGUUGAAGACGACGACGUUGAUAGGCCGGGUGUGUAAGCGCAGCGAUGCGUUGAGCUAACCGGUACUAAUGAACCGUGAGGCUUAACCUUACAACGCCGAA